CAGAGGGUGCAAGCGUUAAUCGGAAUUACUGGGCGUAAAGCGCGCGUAGGUGGUUUGUUAAGUUGGAUGUGAAAGCCCCGGGCUCAACCUGGGAACUGCAUUCAAAACUGACAAGCUAGAGUAUGGUAGAGGGUGGUGGAAUUUCCUGUGUAGCGGUGAAAUGCGUAGAUAUAGGAAGGAACACCAGUGGCGAAGGCGACCACCUGGACUGAUACUGACACUGAGGUGUGAAAGCGUGGGGAGCAAACAGGAUUAGAUACCCUGGUAGUCCACGCCGUAAACGAUGUCAACUAGCCGUUGGGAGCCUUGAGCUCUUAGUGGCGCAGCUAACGCAUUAAGUUGACCGCCUGGGGGAGUACGGCCGCAAGGUUAA
rnacentral:rRNA from 1 species